AUGUUGAUCUUCUGGCUCUUGGGACUCUGUCAGAACCCCAUCUGCUCACCCCAGUCCUCAGGCCUUCAGAUUAGGACUGCAUUCUACCACUGGCUUUCCUGGUUCUCCGGCUUGCAGAUGGCAGAUGAUGAGAAUUCUUAGCUUCCAUAAUCAUAGAUGGGGUUUUACCAUGUUGCCCAGGCUGGUCUGGAACCCCUGAGCUCAAGCAGUCCUCCUACCUUGGCCUCCCAAAGCCCUGGGAAUAUGUGUGUGAGCCAUCACCUCUGCUGGGCAAGCAUCUUUGACGGAAACAUACCAAAUCACCAGAGAACACAUGUCAGAAAAAUAUAUACAACUGAUGGGCCUCCUCCACCCUUCCAGCAAUGCCAUGCUAGCUGUUGGACCUGCGACCUUGCCUUCCUCUGUGCCCAGACCCACACAAACAGUGAUGAAGCUUCACAGCCGGAGGCGGGGGAGCCUCCACCAGGACAGUGCUGGCAUUGGAACUGGUGCUCCUUUAAGUGUUUACUGCAGCAGAAACUUGGUCUGUACCCAGAAGAGCCCAAGAUGUUGUUUCUUGGUGGCAUACAGCUUUUAAUGACCAUUGAACAAAUGCUACAUGAUUUAGCAUUGAGACAAGUGGGAAUACAUAAGCCUUUGUAA
rnacentral:lncRNA from 13 species